rnacentral:lncRNA from 1 species
UUGAGGAGAGAAGCAAGAUUAACCCGGACUUGGACCAUCUGUUUAUUCUUUGCUGCGUAGACCCACAGAGCAGAAGAGGAAAGGGAGGAGAUGCUGUGUAACCAGCUGGAUUAGCCAAAUCCCGUUGGCUUCCUGAUAGAAGGAAGAGUGACGCUGCCGUCAGAUGAUGCUCAUGUCCUCAGAAGACCUUCCCUGGCUCUGGACCCAUGAAACUCAUAAAUCUUCUCCAGAAGCCCCUGACCCCAGCAGGAGGACAAGCAUGUGAUUGGACAUUCAAGGCAGGAAGUUCUUUGGACAGUGUUGUAGGAAUGGGUCCCUUCUGAAACUUUGGACCCAAUCAGCCUAUUUUCCU